CCCACAAUGCGCCAACAACCAAUAAAAAAGAAGAAGAGGAUAACAAAGGAAAACAAUAGAAAGCAACACUGCAAAAAACAAAAGACAUCAAGGACAACAAAACUCUAAACAGCAAGAACAACUGGAUGCGUCUGAGUGCAUGUGUGGCACUAUUUACGUGUGUCUAUCAAAUCAAAUGUUAUUUGUCAUAUGCGCCGAAUACAACAGGUACCUAACAGUGAAAUGCUUAUUUACAAGCCCUUAAAAGAACAAUGCAGUUUUAAGAAAAGAGAUGAGAAUAACAAAUAAUUAAAGAGCAGCAAUGAAUAACAAUAGUGGGGGGUUUAUACAGGGGUACCGGUACAGAGUCAAUGUGGAGGCUAUAUACAGGGGGUACCGGUACAGAGUCAACGUGGAGGCUAUAUACAGGGGGUACCGGUACAGAGUCAAUGUGGAGGCUAUAUACAGGGG
ensembl:lncRNA